UACGUAGGGCGCAAGCGUUGUCCGGAAUUAUUGGGCGUAAAGAGCUCGUAGGCGGCUUGUCACGUCGGGUGUGAAAGCCCGAGGCUCAACCUCGGGUCUGCAGUCGAUACGAGCAAACUAGAGUGUUGCAGGGGAGACUGGAAUUCCUGGUGUAGCGGUGAAAUGCGCAGAUAUCAGGAGGAACACCGGUGGCGAAGGCGGGUCUCUGGGCAACAACUGACGCUGAGGAGCGAAAGCGUGGGGAGCGAACAGG
rnacentral:rRNA from 1 species